rnacentral:rRNA from 1 species
GCGGUGGAGCAUGUGGUUAAUUCGACGCAACGCGAAGAACCUUACCAGGGCUUGACAUCCCCUGACCGCGUAUGAAAGUACGUUUUCACCCUCGGGUGACAGGGAGACAGGUGGUGCAUGGUUGUCGUCAGCUCGUGUCGUGAGAUGUUGGGUUAAGUCCCGCAACGAGCGCAACCCCUACGUUUAGUUGCUAACGCGUGAAGGCGAGCACUCUAGACGAACUGCCGUUGACAAAACGGAGGAAGGUGGGGAUGACGUCAAAUCAUCAUGCCCCUUAUGUUCUGGGCUACACACGUGCUACAAUGGCCGGUACAGACGGACGCAAAGCCGCGAGGUGGAGCAAAUCCUAAAAGCCAUCCUCAGUUCGGAUUGGAGUCUGCAACUCGACCCCAUGAAGUCGGAAUCGCUAGUAAUCGCGGAUCAGCAUGCCGCGGUGAACACGUUCCCGGGCCUU